rnacentral:rRNA from 1 species
GGUUAAGCGACUAAGCGUACACGGUGGAUGCCCUGGCAGUCAGAGGCGAUGAAGGGCGUGCUAAUCUGCGAUAAGCGCCGGUAAGGUGAUAUGAACCGUUAUAACCGGCGAUACCCGAAUGGGGAAACCCAGUGUGACUCGUCACACUAUCAUUAACUGAAUCCAUAGGUUAAUGAGGCGAACCGGGGGAACUGAAACAUCUAAGUACCCCGAGGAAAAGAAAUCAACCGAGAUUCCCCCAGUAGCGGCGAGCGAACGGGGAGGAGCCCAGAGCCUGAAUCAGCAUGUGUGUUAGUGGAAGCGUCUGGAAAGGCGCGCGAUACAGGGUGACAGCCCCGUACACAAAAGCGCAUGUGCUGUGAGCUCGAUGAGUAGGGCGGGACACGUGGUAUCCUGUCUGAAUAUGGGGGGACCAUCCUCCAAGGCUAAAUACUCCUGACUGACCGAUAGUGAACCAGUACCGUGAGGGAAAGGCGAAAAGAACCCCGGCGAGGGGAGUGAAAAAGAACCUGAAACCGUGUACGUACAAGCAGUGGGAGCCCCACCACCAAAGCAUUCUCUGGUGUUGAAGGCCCUGCAAAGCAGCAUCGCGGUGGCGGAGCGUCGUUUGCGACGCCCAACACACAAAACAAGCGGUGAGUGCUUUGGGGUGGGGUGACUGCGUACCUUUUGUAUAAUGGGUCAGCGACUUAUAUUCUGUAGCAAGGUUAACCGUAUAGGGGAGCCGUAGGGAAACCGAGUCUUAACCGGGCGUUAAGUUGCAGGGUAUAGACCCGAAACCCGGUGAUCUAGCCAUGGGCAGGUUGAAGGUUGGGUAACACUAACUGGAGGACCGAACCGACUAAUGUUGAAAAAUUAGCGGAUGACUUGUGGCUGGGGGUGAAAGGCCAAUCAAACCGGGAGAUAGCUGGUUCUCCCCGAAAGCUAUUUAGGUAGCGCCUCGUGAAUUCAUCUUCGGGGGUAGAGCACUGUUUCGGCUAGGGGGUCAUCCCGACUUACCAACC